rnacentral:rRNA from 1 species
UGGGGAAUUGUUCGCAAUGGGCGCAAGCCUGACGACGCAACGCCGCGUGGGGGAUGAAGGUCUUCGGAUUAUAAACCCCUGUCGAAUGGGACGAAAGACCCGGGAGCUAAUCAUCCUGGGAGUGACGGUACCGUUAAAGGAAGCCACGGCUAACUCUGUGCCAGCAGCCGCGGUAAUACAGAGGUGGCAAGCGUUGUUCGGAAUUAUUGGGUUUAAAGGGUGCGUAGGCGGUGCUUUAAGUCAGUGGUGAAAUACGUCAGCUUAACUGGCGAGGUGCCAUUGAUACUGGAGCACUUGAGUACUGAUGAGGUAGGCGGAAUGGACGGUGUAGCGGUGAAAUGCUUAGAUAUCGUCCAGAACACCGAUAGCGAAGGCAGCUUACUAAGGAGUAACUGACGCUGAGGCACGAAAGUGUGGGGAUCAAA